UGCAGUUUAAGUAACUUUUUUGUUCAAAGUUUCACCACAAGAUGGCACUGUGAUUUUGUGAUUGCCCUAGUAAGUUUAUUUAACAUGUUUAUUGAAAGUAUUAUUUUUCAUGUUUUUCAAUACAUUUUGUAGCAUUUACAGGUGCACAGAAUUAAUACUUUUUGAUAUUUGAGUAAUUUUGAAUUGGUUUAUUUUGAUAAGGCAUGUUUAAGAGCGCUGUGACGUCACUUCCUGUAUCUCGAAGCUUCGGAGAUUUUAUUGCUGCGCACGGACAAAUGUGUGCCAGUUAAGAACAUUUGAGAAGAAGGUAAAGUGUUUUCAAGUCUACCGGUUUGUCUACUAGCAGGCCAAAGUGUUCUACGGUGUUCAUGUGGUGUAAAGAGUAAGAAGACGCAAGACCGCAUUAAACAUCAGUAAAAGGAACGCUCGUGUCUCUCGUGUAUGUGAACAAGCCGGCACAGUAGAACACUACACUGCCUCGGAGGAGACGGUUGGAAGCAAGCUAUUAGCAAGGGAUGCUACCGACGUGCUAAGGGAAGUAUCACGUGUUUGGACAAACACAUGAAACAAGCUAACAAGCAGAAGCUAAAUAAGCAAGCACUCAAGUUUGUGUCUUGAAAGUAGCGCAAGCGCUUGUGGAUUGUUGCACUGAAUGUGGCUUCUCCAUCAAAAGAAAUAGCAGUUUGCAUCAAUUAAGAUUAAAGGUACAUGGCCAAAAUUGAAAUAAGUUCAUAAAAGUGAUAUCAAAACAAAAUGGCAGAUGAAA